UACGGAGGGGGCUAGCGUUGUUCGGAAUUACUGGGCGUAAAGCGCGCGUAGGCGGCUUUGCAAGUUAGAGGUGAAAGCCCGAAGCUCAACUUCGGAAUUGCCUUUAAAACUGCAUCGCUAGAAUGUGGAGAGGUAAGUGGAAUUCCGAGUGUAGAGGUGAAAUUCGUAGAUAUUCGGAAGAACACCAGUGGCGAAGGCGACUUACUGGACACGUAUUGACGCUGAGGUGCGAAAGCGUGGGGAGCAAACAGG
rnacentral:rRNA from 1 species